AGUGGUGGAAAUUAAACCAAAUGGGAUAUCUUUAGUAAUUGCGAAUGAACAAGGAUAUGCUUAGCUUGACAAAUGGAGCUAUUGGCUUUGAAUUGUAUUGUGGAAAUGUAUUACCAACAGAGGUGCAGGUGCCAGCCUAUUGAAAUAAAGCGUCAAUGAGGGUGAGAAUCCUGUUUGUCAUGUGCAGCCCUUUGUGCACGGUGUAUAUUUGCUGAGUCACACUCCUUGGCAUUGGAAUGCAAAGUGGGUGGUAAGUUUCAUGUAAAGGUAAACAUGCAAUUGAGACUGAUAGCACACAAGUACCAUGAGGGAAAUAUGAAAAGGACUUUGAAAAGAGAAUUAAAUGAGUUUGUAUUUGCUGAACACAAAGUAAACAGACUUGAUUUGCUUGGUGGGAGUGUUGCACUUGCUUGACAAGAGCUUUGGGCUGUGGGUGUAAUGAUUCUUUCUUUGCAUGCCAGUUUCUAUUUGUACAUCUGAUUACCUUUGCACAUGAAUGAUAAGUCUCCUGUGGGGGGUGGAUUGCAUGUGCAUGUAAUGAUUUGUGUUUUGAUAAAUGUGUCUGGUGUAUGUGUGUGUGUUCCUGUGCUUGGGGAUGCUUCCUUCCUUGGACUUACAAGCCCUGACACACACAUGCUGGCAAAAUGCUUCUGCUUGACCCGUCUUGAAACACGGACCAAGGAGUCUAACAGAUGUGCAAAGUUUGAAGGUGGUAUACCUUUGUGUGCAAUGAAAGUGUCAGCUGGGAUAUGUGCACCAGCACCCAAUUAAUUAGCGGACAGAGGUUUGAGUUGGAGCAUAUCUAUUAGGACCCGAAAGAUGGUGAACUAUGCCUGAACAGAAUGAAUUCAGAGGAAACUCUGAUGGAGGUUCGUAUCGAUACUGACGUGCAAAUCGUUCGUCAUA
rnacentral:rRNA from 1 species